rnacentral:misc_RNA from 1 species
GCAAACUUGGUCAUUUAGAGGAAGUAAAAGUCGUAACAAGGUUUCCGUAGGUGAACCUGCGGAAGGAUCAUCACAGUGUGGUCUGGUGUGUGUGUGGAGACACACACCAAUCUUGUGUGAACUGUUGUGUGUGUGUUGGUGUGUGAUGUGUUGUUAUAUGGCACUCCCACCACCACAAAUAUCAUCACCUUCAAUCUUUGUCUAACAUGUACCCACAAUCUAAAACAACUUUUAACAAUGGAUCUCUUGGCUCUCGCAUCGAUGAAGAACGCAGC